rnacentral:miRNA from 1 species
GGACUGUUGGCAUUGGUAAUAUAUUGGGUUGGCCAAAAAGUUCAUUAGGGUUUUUCCAUACCAUCUUAUGAACUUCUUGGCCAACCCAAUA